GGGCGGGGCGCGCGGUGGGGGAGCGACGGGUGGAGGGUGGGGUGGGAUGACAGCGGCGACGCAGCCCCGGCUGUUUUUGAAGCGGGGCCCGGGCCCCACCGGGCUGCGGCGUCCGACUCGAGUGAGACUCUCCCCUGCGGCCCCGCCGGAGAUGAAGAAACUGAGGCACAAAAAUUAAAUAUAACUUGCCCAAGUUCUCACAGCUAGAAAAUGGCAAAACUGGGAUGCCAGCAUCUUUUAGUAUUUUUUGAAAUACUUUAUGCUCACUGGGGAAAUACUUCCCCAGCUCACUGAUCUAAUGACAGACAGGACACCUGCUGUUUGAGCUGGGCACUGUUGGGGCAUUUGGAGUAUAUCUGUAAACAAAACAAAGAUCCCUGCGUUUUGGUUAUAUACUGAUUUGGUUCGAAAACAUGGCCAAAAGAAAUGCCGAGAAGGAACUG
rnacentral:lncRNA from 10 species